UUCUACGACCGUACCACCCUGAACGUGCCCAAUCUCAUCUGAUCUUGUAAGCUAAGCAGGGUCGGGCCUGGUUAGUACUUGGAAGGGAGGUAUUUUCCCAGUUUGUGGGUU
ensembl:rRNA 5S_rRNA 5S ribosomal RNA